rnacentral:rRNA from 1 species
UACAGAGGUCUCAAGCGUUGUUCGGAUUCAUUGGGCGUAAAGGGUGCGUAGGCGGCGCGGCAAGUCGGGUGUGAAAUCUCGGAGCUUAACUCCGAAACUGCAUUCGAUACUGCCGUGCUUGAGGACUGGAGAGGAGACUGGAAUUUACGGUGUAGCGGUGAAAUGCGUAGAUAUCGGGAGGAACACCGGUGGCGAAGGCGGUUCUCUGGGCCUUACCUGACGCUGAGGAGCGAAAGCGUGGGGAGCGAACAGG